AUCAGCAUAAAGAAGGUAGUGACAAGAAAUAACAAUACAAGGCAGUUAAAAUGCUUUGUAAUUGGAAUGAUAGAAAUUUAAACACUUUUUAAAGUAUCAAUUGGAGGGCAAGUCUGGUGCCAGCAGCCGCGGUAAUUCCAGCUCCAAUAGCGUAUAUUAAAAUUGUUGCAGUUAAAAAGCUCGUAGUUGAAUUUCUGCUAAAAAUAACCGGUCUGCUUUUAAUAAAGGUGGUAUCUUGGUGUGUUUUUAGCAAUAAUGUCCUUUGAAAUGUUUUUUACUUCAUUGUAAUAAAUUAUAUUUAGGAUUUUUACUUUGAGAAAAUUAGAGUGUUUCUAGCAGGCUAAUGCUUUGAAUACUGCAGCAUGGA
rnacentral:rRNA from 1 species